UUUCAUGUGAUUGACUUGCGGCUCCACCGCAAGAUUUCCUUUCUUGUCCCACCCUAUCCAUCCAAACCGACAGCAUUCAAUGAGAGUGCAUACACCAUUUCCAUCCGUUCCAUAUCAAUGCACGUUCAUGCAAACGGUGACACAAAUAGCGAAACAAAUGAAAAUGUCCAAAAAGAUUUGACAAACAGAGGUCACUACUAAUUUUGAUCAGAACAUACAUACAAAGGUCGGAGAAAUAUGAAAUGUCAAACUUCGUAUUUUUGACGAAGUUUGAGCUCCAUCUUAACACUCGUUUUAUAAUAAAUACCUCAGCCAAAGGCAAUGAAGAUUCUCUUUUCUGUCGUAACCUCCGAGGAAAUCGUAGUGCGCGUCGUGUAUUAAUUGUUAAAAAUUGUCACAAAAUUGUGUGUUUUAAAAGCUUUGUACCUUAUUCUAAGUGGAAAUUGUGUCCUUAAUACUAAUAGUACGGUAAAAAUAGUACGGCAAAACAAACUACAAAACUAUAGUACGCCUAUUAUACAUUUAUGCCGUCUAAAAACUAAGAAAACACUACUGUGAAAGUUAUGUGCAAGAAAAAGGUCCACGAGUGGGCCUUUUUCUUUUAAUUACAAGCUACAUCCACGACAGGCUCUUGGUGACAAUCCAAGAGGCCUAAUCCUCACGCACGUUGAUUUCAAGGUUAUGUUACCUAGCUCGAGGACCUCAUUCCGAGCGAAACUGCCAUCCGGCAUCUCCCACAAACGCCGGCAGAAGCACAGAGACAGAAUACCUAUUGUCUGAAGACGUGUAUUGUUCAGACCGCUUUCCAAGCCAUACCCGCCAUCUUGAAUCGGCCAUUCCGCCGAUGUAGCAAGCUGUCCAACAUGCCGACGCUUCCCAUCGCCGACAGCUCACGGCCAUCAUCAAUCUCAACCGAAAGCGGCCCGUCGCCGCUUGUUCCCCAUCAUCAAGCUCACCAAGAUGUCGACGUGGCCCGUCUCCGCCAGUCUCGCAGCCUUAAGCAGUGGCCACUUGCUGAUCAACGGAAUCACCGAGGAUCCGGAUCCCGAGCAUGACGAUGCUCCAACCACGCAAGUACCCCUAUCAAGUGUGACAGUGCUAGCAUAGUGUAGGACCAGAAAAGUACAUUAAAAUUAGCCAUAAGUUAAAUUGAAA